UACGAAGGGGGCUAGCGUUGCUCGGAAUUACUGGGCGUAAAGGGCGCGUAGGCGGAUAUCUAAGUUGGGGGUGAAAUCCCGGGGCUCAACCUCGGAAUUGCCUUCAAAAACUGGAUAUCUUGAGUUCGGGAGAGGUGAGUGGAAUUCCUGGUGUAGCGGUGAAAUGCGCAGAUAUCAGGAAGAACACCCGUGGCGAAGGCGGCUCUCUGGUACGUGACUGACGCUGAGACGCGAAAGCGUGGGGAGCAAACAGG
rnacentral:rRNA from 1 species